rnacentral:rRNA from 1 species
UACGUAGGGUGCGAGCGUUUAAUCGGAAUUACUGGGCGUAAAGCGUGCGUAGGCGGCUUUGUAAGUCAGAUGUGAAAUCCCCCGGGCUUAACUCGGGACGUGCAUUUGAAACUGCGAGGCUAGAGUGCAGUAGAGGAUGGUAGAAUUCCCAGUGUAGAGGUGAAAUUCGUAGAUAUUGGGAGGAAUACCGAUGGCGAAGGCAGCCAUCUGGCCUAACACUGACGCUGAGGUGCGAAAGCAUGGGGAGCAAACAGG